CAAUGAAAGCAGGUGUAUGUGUCCACUGACCUCAGUGAAGGUGGAUGCAUGUUGCUGUUUAGAGACUUCAAUAGACAAAUGGAAAAAUAUGAAAGAUUCUUUCUUCUCAACUGACAGAUCAUGGCUGCGACUCUGGAAAAUGCAGCCAGCUCAGG
rnacentral:lncRNA from 11 species